UAUAGAGGUUUCUACCAGGCAAUUGUCGACCCUGCUUUAUCUUGUGUAUAAUCUCAGAAUAUUGCUGAUUUAGAAUCAGUUAAAUUCUCUGCAGGGUGCAGGAUCACGUGACUUUGUGGGGUUCACAAUUACACAAUUAAGGGAUGUAAACACACCGGCGGUGUCGAAAUGGGUCUAUAGCUCUGCCUGAACUGUCGUCCAAUUGGUUUACAAGUCCGGCUGAAGUGUCAGGCCAUCAAAAACUGUACAGCAUGACUGAUUCGGAGACGGCCCUCAACACUCGCCCAGUCGUGUCGAGAGGAUCGGUCUUUUUGCAGAUUACACGGAAUUGAGCACCCGGGCCAGACUGACACUUUCCGGAGCCUGUCCGAGACGGAACUCGAGCCGAGGAAUCAUAGGUCCAGGUGUGACAAAAGACUUAAAGCUCAUGUCUGACGAUGACUUUUUUUAGUCAGGAAGUCAAGUGUGUUGUUUUUCCAUGCAAGCAAGCCCUUUUGUUGGGUCAAAUGACAUCAGAAUUGCUGCUUCUACAUAAAUUUUACCUAAAAUGUGCAAAAAAUAUAUAAAAAGUUUGUUCGAAUCCAGUUCAAAACCUGCUUUGAUGCACAAAUAUUGCCAUUGAUGUUUUUUUUUCACUUAUUAAGUCAUAUGUAAGAUCAGCUUUGCAUAUUAGAAUCGAAAGUCAUGCCUUGUAUGGAGUCUAAGUGCUGCAUGUAUGAUGUAACCAAGUUUGGCUUUUCUACCUUAAUUCUUGACGCGAAACGCUGUAACGCAUGGCGCUUUCAACUGCAACUUUUAUGAAUUUUUUAAUCUGUGUGUCAUUGUUCCGGAACUUUGUGAUCUUUCUCAAAACAGUUUAUACCUGUGGGAAAAGUGCCUUUAAUUUAAAUUUGAAGGGGUUGGGUUCUCUUAAAGGUCACAUAACCCCAAACCGGAACUCCUGUUUUUAGGGCUACAUGCAGUCAGUUUGAUACUUAGCACACAUUGUUCAGUGCAUGCUGCAUAGGAUUUGUAAAAUACAUUGCAAAUGGAAUGUUAUGGUAUCAGUUUGAAGGUAUAUUUGUAAGCAAUAAGAAAAAAAGCCAUUUUUGUGCUCUACUUUUUCUGUUGAUGGUUCCCGGCUUUGAAAGUAGGUCAUACUAUUUGAGCCCAAAAUGGUCGCCUGCACAGCUGUCAAAACCGCUUUGCCUAUUCUAAGGUGAAUAUUUUGAGUUACAAUGUAUAGAAUUUAAUGACAUCCAUUUUUUCAAAAGAUUAUGCAUUUAUCUUUCCAAUGAUGUAUGAUGAUAUAGUGGGUCAUUGCUUGAUCAUGGUAAAAUUUGAUAUCGAACUUCAACUAUUUUAUAUGUAAUAUAGAAGGAAAUUAAUUGCGCAUGCGUAACCUGUGAGAGCGUAACCUAUUUUGCGUUGUUAUCGCCCGUAAACUUUCCUUUGUUUAUCGACAGGCGCAUCUAUUAAUAGCCUCAUAUCAUGAAUGCCAAAACACCCGCGAAAAAGAACCACGUGACCAAAUAGGACGCUUAACGCAAAUACCAUGCGACUACGACUUUUAUUAUGUAAGAACGCUUCGCAAUUCCUUUGAAGCCGGCGCCUUGUGAUUGCUAUUACUAAAGAAUUGACCUCUAACUGAAGUAAGCAAAGGAAACGCAGCACCUAAUUGACCCAUUCCUUCUAUGUGCGAAGGCAGAUUUAAUUUUACUAAUGUAUGGUUUGCCUAUUAUAACACACAUUAUAAUGCGGUAAAUAUGCGACUAAAAAGUAAAAAACACUAUAAUUAAACUUUUGUUUUGAAUUAAGUUAUUUAGAAACCAAAAUUCCAAACCUUAUUUCAAAACAGCAAGACUGCAUUUUUUAGAGAAUAAUCUUGUUAUAUUUAAAUGUUUUUUAACAGUUUCAGCGAUAAUGAAACAUUUUUUAUGUUGUCUAUCGUAUCCCUGUAAUAAUUGAUGAACUCGUGGUCAACGUAUUAUUAAUUGAGACCUGUGAAUAUAAACAAGCGUAACCUUAUACUAGUGCGUUAUUCUCACCCGGACUCCCCUUUGUUUAUCGCCAGCCUCAGAUUUAUGAAUGAGAUGAGCGAAAAUACUACGUCACGCAGACGCAGCAGAAAGUGGACUAUUUUAAUCAUUCAUAAACAAUCUCCUUCGCGACACGUACACUACGAUCAUUGUUUUUUAUUCUUUUCUAUAAAACACCAUUCGAAACUAUUGCAUUUAACACGAUAUUAAUAUAAUGUUUCCAUUUGUGAAUAAACAUAAUUGGAGAACUCAAACCUCUUGCAUAAAUUAUUCAACUUUUGCUUCGCGCGUAGUAAGCGGGAAUUGGGCUAAUCAUACCUAGGCCGUACCGACCUGAAUUUUAUACUAAGCACUUUAGACGGUCGCUAAAGCGACCAUCUUUAAACUGCC